rnacentral:rRNA from 1 species
GACGUAGGGCGCGAGCGUUGUCCGGAUUUAUUGGGCGUAAAGAGCUCGUAGGCGGCUUGUCGCGUCGACUGUGAAAUCCCGCGGCUCAACUGCGGGUCUGCAGUCGAUACGGGCAGGCUAGAGUUCGGUAGGGGAGACUGGAAUUCCUGGUGUAGCGGUGAAAUGCGCAGAUAUCAGGAGGAACACCGAUGGCGAAGGCAGGUCUCUGGGCCGAUACUGACGCUGAGACGCGAAAGCGUGGGGAGCGAACCGG